GGGAGCACCCCAGACCACCACCCUCCGCCUGCAGUGUUGCUCCCAGGGGCUGGCCCACACGGGUGCUGCCUGCUGUCUUCGCCAAGAUGGACAGCUAAUGGCCCCAAACUGAAAGGAGAUUUUGCCAUUGGAAAAGGCACCUAUUUGCAGAGUGCUGGAUGUGAAAGCAGCUGAUGGUGUCCUGCGUGUCUGAUGGCAAAGACAGCCCUUUCCAGAUCCACCGGAGGUUCACAAACCGGUUGGGAAGCUGCUGGAAGAUGAUUGGACCCACUGGGAAUAGGGACUCUUGAAAUGUUCGGGUCUCGUGAAAGCCGCCUUUGCCGAGAUCAGCUGGACUGAAAAGCUCCCCAGCCGGUGCCUCCAACGCUCCCCAAGGAGGCCAUGACUUGCUGCCUCUUCGCAACACCAAGACGCACCUGGCCCGUCCUCUGUUCUGUAGAUCAUGGCAUGGAUUUUUCCUUCUUGUCAAUAGGAGGAAAAAGUACAGGAACAUGAAUUCUUUAGGGCAAAAGGGACACUUCU